UACGUAGGGGGCAAGCGGUGUCCGGAAUUAUUGGGCGUAAAGCGCGCGCAGGCGGUUAAUUAAGUCAGAUGUGAAAGGCUACGGCUCAACCGUAGAGUUGCAUUUGAAACUGGUUAACUUGAGUGCAGGAGAGGUAAGUGGAAUUCCCGGUGUAGCGGUGGAAUGCGUAGAGAUCGGGAGGAACACCAGUGGCGAAGGCGGCUUACUGGCCUGCAACUGACGCUGAGGCGCGAAAGCGUGGGGAGCGAACAGG
rnacentral:rRNA from 1 species